ACGGAAGGCAGCAGUGGGGAAUAUUGCACAAUGGGCGAAAGCCUGAUGCAGCGACGCCGCGUGAGUGAAGAAGUAUCUCGGUAUGUAUAGCUCUAUCAGCAGGGAAGAAAAUGACGGUACCUGACUAAGAAGCCCCGGCUAACUACGUGCCAGCAGCCGCGGUAAUACGUAGGGGGCAAGCGUUAUCCGGAUUUACUGGGUGUAAAGGGAGCGUAGACGGUUUGGCAAGUCUGAAGUGAAAUGCGGGGGCUCAACUCCUGAACUGCUUUGGAAACUGUCGAACUAGAGUGCAGGAGAGGUAAGUGGAAUUCCUAGUGUAGCGGUGAAAUGCGUAGAUAUUAGGAGGAACACCAGUGGCGAAGGCGGCUUACUGGACUGUAACUGACGUUGAGGCUCGAAAGCGUGGGGAGCAAACAGGAUUAGAUACCCUGGUA
rnacentral:rRNA from 1 species